CUUAUUGUGCCCACCUCGGCCCUGCCCCACCCCUACCCCCAGCGAGGGCUCCCUGGCCAAUGGUUGGGGCUCAGCUUCUGAGGACAAUGCCCCCAGUGCCAGGGCCAGCCUGGUCAGCUCCUCCGAUGGCUCCUUCCUUGCAGACGCUCACUUUGCCCGUGCCCUGGCAGUGGCUGUGGAUAGUUUUGGUUUUGGUCUGGAGCCCAGGGAAGCUGACUGUGUCUUCACCGAUGCUUCCUCCCCUCCCUCCCCUCGGGAUGAUCUCCUCCUCACCCGAAGUUUCUCUCUGCCUCUGUGGGAGUGGAAGCCAGACGAUUGAGAAGCCCUGGAGAAGAGUCCAAAAGGAGCCUGGGGUCUGGUCGUAAUUUUACUCUUCUACUUCCAGAUUCCUCCUGAAUUGUCCCUGAGAUGGCCAGAAGAGCACCCAGACCAUUCUCCUGCCUGUCCUCAGGCCUUCCCACAGGUGUGGGUCUUAGCCUUUGCUUCUCUGUAGCAGAGGCCCAUUAUCACUGGGUUUCUGGAGAGUUCUGUCACUGGGAUUGUUAAAACAGAAGAAAGUAAACCAAACUGUGAUCUAGGGAGCCUUGGAUUCCCACUGAGAGCAAGACAGCAUCUUCAUACACUAGACUCUCUCCCACAACCAGGGCCUUUGGCCUAAGUAAGCCUGGCUCCUGAUCUCCCACCCAUGUGGAUCAUGGGAAGAAGGGAAGCCAAUGGUGUCUUCAUGGAGGGCAGAAAUGGCUGUUGGAGAGGGCUACAGUGGAGGACACUUAGAGGAGCCCUCUCAUCUCUACUCGGACUCUUCCCUUAGAGGCCAGCUCAGCCCUUUCCCUUCAGCCACACCAUUCGAGGAAAAUAAAGGAGGAAGAUCACGGAUGCCAUGGGUCCUGUCUAGUUCACGGUCAACACUUCAAAGUUGGGUUAAUGGAGGAGGCUGAUGAAAAAAAAAGCAGAAGAACCAAAGCACUAUCCUCAUGCCAUUGCCACUGAGAGCUUUACGAAUUUGAUUCUAUAAAAC
rnacentral:lncRNA from 1 species